rnacentral:lncRNA from 1 species
GUUUGUUUAGAAUCUAUGCCAAAAUUUUUUUCCGAAGCAUAAAUCUGGUUUUUUUUCUUUUCCUUAAAAAAAACUUUAAUAAAGCCAAAGAAAGAAAGAAAGGAAAGAAAGAAAGAAAGAGGGCUCCACAUGCAGUUUCAGCACUAAGGGAUCCUGACAAGUAAUUCACCUCUGCUUUGAAUGUGGGAUUUUUGCACUCUAUGAUAUAUACCUUUGGAGUGGUUUUGUUUUCUUUGUGGUUUUUUUUUUGUUUGUUUUUUGUUUUUUGUUUUUUUUGUGUGAGACAGUGGAUUUUUUUAUCCAUCAUUGCAUUAUUGGAGUUUUAUGUGAUUUAAUGUAUAAAAAGUGAGGCUAUUCUCCAACUAGUUGUUUGGGUUUCUGUAAAGUUCAAUUUCCACAGUUUACCUCAAGAGGUCUUUUAAAAAUGAAAUUUCAAGCAUGUUGCUUGAUAUUCUUUAACAUGUUCUCAAUUAAUUUGCAAUAAAGUCCAGCCCCCUUCCUAUUGCACACUAUUGUACCCUUCCUGCCUUUUUCAUGCACUGCUCUCCACCCACCCUGGCUUCCCGGCUUUGCCUCCAACGUCAGAGUGAUUUCUGGGCUUGCUUUUUUUUUUUUUUUUUUGCCUGGAAACUUCUUCUCUGAAGAACUUUCAAAUGGCUGCCUUCUUCAUGUAUCUCCUCUCGGAGCAUCAUUCCCUGACCUUCCUUUCUAGGGCUCUGAAUCCACCCCAUUGCUGUCUAUCCAGUCAGUCUCUCUUUUCUAGCUGGCAUCCAUCACAAGCAAUCUGCUUAUCUUGUUUUUGUCUAUCUUUGUUGAGUUUUGGUAUUGAUUUUAUGUGUCAGUACCUGAGAAGGAGAGAAGUCCUUGAGUUGUUUCGUAAAUGUGGCUCAAGUGAGAUGCUGAACAGUGCCAGCCAUGUGGACUCUGCCACAGUGAAGGAGGAAGGCAGCACUGAGAAGUGAAGGAAUAUUUGGGAGGAUCAGAAGCUUGGUCCUGAUUUUGCCAUCAACAGGAACUUGAUGACUUCAAGGGAGUCCCCAAACCCUGGGUUUCUGUUUUCUCAACUCUAACAUGAGGGGCUAGAUGCAUCUGGUUUAGUUAGUCUCCAUGAUGGUUUAGUUCGUCUCCAUGAUCCUGUGAAUUUCAGAUGUUGAAAAUCUUCGGAAAAGCCCUGAAAGAUGAACAGUGGUCUCAAAUAGUCAAGACCCCCUGCUGGGAGGAGCUUCUAUCCUGCUCUGUGGAAGAAAUGGGCAUGCCAGAUGCCUGGAAGAUCAGAGGCUCACAUUCCAGCUGUAGGUGGCCCACCAGGUGUCAACAACUGUAGAGUUCCAUCAAGAGUCAUCAUUUUACAGUUACAAGUCGGAGGGGCCUUCACAGAUCCGUCAGGCUCAACACUGCCUCCUUAGUGAGCCUGUGAACCACCCAAGACGGCUGGUCAUCAGUGUCAUCCUCUUCCUUUUCCGGACAACUAUCUUUAAAAGAAAAAAAAAGAGUGUCUUUGAAUGUAUCCAUUUUAUCCCCAAAUAAUCUUGUUUAAUAAAUUCCUUAUUAGGCCAAA